rnacentral:rRNA from 1 species
UCGUACUGAUUCGGGCUCGGCCCGAUCCUCCCACCCUUUGUGUACCUACCUCUGUUGCUUUGGCGGGCCGCGGUCCCCCGCGGCCGCCCCCCCUCCCCGGGGGGUGGCUAGUGCCCGCCAGAGGACCAUCAAACUCCAGUCAGUGAACGUCGCAGUCUGAAAAAACAUUCAAUAAACUAAAACUUUCAACAACGGAUCUCUUGGUUCUGGCAUCGAUGAAGAACGCAGCGAAAUGCGAUAAGUAAUGUGAAUUGCAGAAUUCAGUGAAUCAUCGAAUCUUUGAACGCACAUUGCGCCCCUUGGUAUUCCGAGGGGCAUGCCUGUUCGAGCGUCAUUACAACCCUCAAGCUCUGCUUGGUAUUGGGCACCGCCCUUCUUCGGGCGCGCCUCAAAGACCUCGGCGGUGGCUGUCUUGCCUCAAGCGUAGUAGAAUACACCUCGCUUCGGAGCGCAGGGCGUCGCCCGCCGGACGAACCUUCUGAACUUUUCUCAAGGUUGACCUCGGAUCAGGUAGGGAUACCCGCUGAACUUAAGCAUAUCAAAGGGGCACGAAGGGA